GUGAAUUAAACAUGCUUGGUGUCUUCGCUUCGGCAAGGCCCUUGCUUAAAUCACAUCCCUAACACCUGUGAACUGUAAGACGUAUAUGAGGUCUUUGGCCAAGUGCAUCGUCUGCCCAUUUUUAAACAACAAUUAAUGUAACCAAACGUAGUCUUAUUAUAACCUAAUA
rnacentral:misc_RNA from 1 species